rnacentral:rRNA from 1 species
AGUGAACGCUGGCGGUAGGCCUAACACAUGCAAGUCGAACGGAAACACAGUAAGAGCUUGCUCUUACGGGUGGCGAGUGGCGGACGGGUGAGGAAUACAUCGCCAUCUACUUUUUCGUGGGGGAUAACGUAGGGAAACUUACGAUAAUACCGCAUACGACCUACGGGUGAAAGCAGGAGAUAUUCGGACCUUGCGCGAUUGAAUGAGCCGAUGUCGGAUUAGCUAGUUGGCGGGGUAAAGGCCCACCAAGGCGACGAUACGUAGCUGGUCUGAGAGGAUGAUCGGCCACACUGGAACUGAGACACGGUCCAGACUCCUACGGGAGGCAGCAGUGGGGAAUAUUGGGCAAUGGGCGCAAGCCUGAUCCAGCCACACCGCGUGGGUGAAGAAGGCCUUCGGGUUGUAAAGCCCUUUUGUUGGGAAAGAAAAGCAGCAGGUUAAUACCCCGCUGUUCUGACGGUACCCAAAGAAUAAGCACCGGCUAACUUCGUG